GUGGUAUGAAAAUUGUGCAAAUGCCGAUCCUUCCAACAGGAGUCUAGAGGUAGUAAUUCUUCAGGAUUUCAAGUGGUAUGACUUUAUUCUGAAUUUACACAAAAUAUACAAUGGGACAUAUUUGACGGUGAAAAACGUAACA